rnacentral:rRNA from 1 species
UACGUAGGCAGCAAGCGUUGUUCGGAGUUACUGGGCGUAAAGAGUGCGUAGGUGGUGCCCUAAGUCUGUUGUGAAAUCUCCCGGCUUAACUGGGAGGGUGCGGUGGAAACUGGGUGCUUGAGUGUGGGAGAGGUAAGCGGAAUUCCUGGUGGUAGCGGUGAAAUGCGUAGAUAUCAGGAGGAACACCGGUGGUGUAGACGGCUUACUGGACCACGGACUGACACUGAGGCACGAAAGCGUGGGUAGCAAACAGG